rnacentral:snRNA from 1 species
GUGAUCACUUUGGUAGCACACACACUAAAAUUGGAAUAUAGAGAUUAACACGGUCCCUGAGAAAGGAUGACACACAAAUUCAUGAAGCAUUCCAUAUUUUU